CGGUUGAUCCCGCCGGAAGCUACCGCUAUUGGAGUCCGAUUAAGACAUGCGAGUCGAGAGCUUCCGGAGCUCGGCAUACUGCUCAGUAACACGUGGGUAACCUGCCCUAUGCUGGGGGAUAACCUCGGGAAACUGAGAACAAUACCCCAUAGUCCACUACGCCUGGAACGGUGAGUGGAUGAAAGCCCCGGCGGCAUAGGAUGGGCCUGCGGCGUAUCAGGUUGUAGGGGGUGUAAUGUACCCUCUAGCCCUCGACGCGUACGGGCUGUGAGAGCAAUAGCCCGGAGAUGGAUUCUGAGACAAGAAUCCAGGUCCUACGGGACGCAGCAGUCGCGAAACCUUGACAAUGCGGGAAACCGUGAUCAGGGGACUCCAAGUGCCAGGAGUAAGAUCCUGUGCUUUUCAUCUCUCUUCAAAGGAUUUGGAAUAAGGGGUGGGUAAGGACGGUGCCAGCCGCCGCGGUAAUACCGGCGCCUCAAGUGGUAGUCGAUUUUAUUGGGCCUAAAACGUCCGUCGCCGGUCUGGUGCAUUCGUGGGUAAAUCAACCCGCUCAACGGGUUGAAUUCUGCGAGCACGGCCAGACUAGGGACCGGGAGAGGUGUAGGGUACGCUCGGGGUAGGGGUAAAAUCCUGUCAUCCCGAGCGGACCACCUGUUGCGAAGGCGCUACACUAGAACGGAUCCGACGGUCAGGGACGAAGC
rnacentral:rRNA from 1 species